rnacentral:lncRNA from 1 species
ACGUGGAGAGAACAGGAACACAUGUUUUCUGUACUACAUGGCUAAUGCAGGAUACAGGGCUGCAGUUGUUGGGUGAAGCUUUGCCCGAAAGUUGAGAAAUGGGUGCAGCGCAAGGAUGCAGAACAGGAGUCGCAGAUCAAAGCAGAGAUCCAGGAUAUGAAGCAAGAGUUAUCCGCGGUCAAUAUGAUGGACAAGUUUGCCAGAUCUGCCAGGCUGGAAAGAAAGAUCAACAAGAUGACGAAUAAGCUCAAAACUCAUGUGAAAGUACAGACAGCUCAAUCAGGAAUGCUAAAAUGGGUUAUAAGUGUUGCUUUCUACAAAUCGCCAGGUACGGUGAUCAGGCUAUAAGGCAGUCUUGUGGGGUUAUCCAUUACUUGACAGGGUCUCGCUCUGUUGCCCAGGCUGGAGUGCAGUGGGCCAUCUAGGCUCACUGUAGCCUCUGCCACCCAGGUUCAAGUGACCUUCCCACUUCAGCCUCACAAGUAGCUGGCACUAAAAGUGCUUGCCACCAUACCCGGAUAAUUUUCAUAUUUUUUGUAAAGACAGGGUCUCGCCAUGUUGCCCAGACUGGUCGCGUUUUCUUCCUCUGUUUAAAAUGGCAUUUGUUGGACAAGCAUUUGUAUAGUACUACGUACUUACUUGAAGCUGUUAAUUUUUCAUUACAAUGUUUUGUAAAUUUCUUCAUGAGGCCAUAAUGCAUUGUUUUGUGCUCAAAUUUUGCAUUGUAUUUAAAGCAUUCA